UGCCCCGUAGUUCAGUGGUAGAAUAAUUGACUGUUAAUCAGGAGGUCGCUGGUUCGAAUCCAGCCGGGGCAG
rnacentral:tRNA from 1 species